rnacentral:tRNA from 1 species
GGCGGUGUGUCCGAGUGGUUAAGGAGACAGACUAGAAAUCUGUUGGGCUCUGCCCGCACAGGUUCGAAUCCUGUCGCCGUCG